GAUUUGAACUAAGGUUUUCUGGCUCUGGAGUCCAGCAUACAAAGCUACCACUCAAAAAAUAAUUCCUGCCUUAAUCUAGUCAGAAUUAGGGAACUUUCACAACUGAGACCACACCCAAACACAGAUGCACAGUAAGGAGAAUCACAGGAGGGCAAUACAGACACGCAAAUAGAAAAGACCUCCUCACAUGUCAUACCCCAGAAUGCGGGAACACGCAAAGAGAGACACAUUGUGACAAACCCCACACAGAUGCACAGCACCCAGAGAAGCACACACCACACAAAAGGGAUACAACACACCCAAACCCAGACACGGUGACGCAUCCAGAGCUCCGAGUCCCUCCUGUUCCGCUCCCAGCCCCGCUGGGCUGGCCCUGGAGGAUGCAGCAGGCUUACAAUGGGAAGGGGGCCACCUCACUUGCCUGCUCAGCCAGACCGGUUCCGCCAGUGCCAUAGAUGGCACCACCCGCCUUGUGAAACCCACGUUGGGCAACUGUACCCUGAACUGGCCUGGACACCUGAAUUCUGGGGAGAAAGAGGCUGGGAGCCUGGACUCCUGGGUUCUGAGGGAGUAGGGGCUGGGUACCUCAUUCAUGGAUUCUAGGGGAGGAGAGGAGUGGGAGUGGGACCUGGAGUCUGAGGAGGGAUUCCUGGGUUCUGGGAAAAGACCCAGGGACGUGGAUUCCCCUCUUUGAAGCAGUCCUGCAGGUAGGAGCAUCUGCCCACAGCCUUCUGCACAAAGGUUGGUGCCUCUGCUCUGUUCUCCCCCCACCCAACUCCACUCACAUCUCUCUGUCCCCUUACAAGUGUCUGUUUACCUCUCUGGACAUCCCUGUCUUUCUCAAUACCCGCUGUGAGUUGAAGUUGGAAGUUCUGGGGGCCAGUACCCCCUCUACUAACCCUCUUGGCUGGGCCAUCAGAUGUGAGGCAUUUCUCUUCAGCUCACUGAGCCUCAGUGUGCUGUCUGUGAAAUGGGCUUGCAGAAAAAGAGUACUGGGCAGGUGUGACUGUUACUGGUGGCAUCUCUAUAGGCACCUACCUCUGAUCUCUUUCUCCCCUUGUCUCUGACUCUGCCUGUCUCUGUCUCUUGGUCUUUCUCUCCAGCUCUGCCUCUGGUAUGAGGAGGUUUCUCUGGGGUCUGUGGGCAGCUGCACAGAGAUGGGCGAGUUUCUCGCCCCCAACCCCAUACAACCCUAUCCCACGUCUCUCCUAGCCGGCAAGCUGAUUUGGCCUCUUUCUCCCCAGCUUCCUUACCCCUGAGAACCCAGCCCCCAGUGCCCCUGCCCCUUGCCCUGACCUCCCCCAGUAUCCAGCAUCCCUUGGACAGAUUCUGACGCUGUCACCACUGCCACCUCUACUGUC
rnacentral:lncRNA from 1 species